UCUCAGAUGGUGAAGAAUAUGUCUGCAAUGCAGAAGACCUGGGUUCAAUCCCUGGUUUGAGAA
rnacentral:tRNA from 1 species